rnacentral:lncRNA from 1 species
AAAACCUAAUUAGGGAUAUAAUGAACGCGUUGGAACGCUCGGUUCGACAAUCCGACGAGUGUACGCGAAGUUAUUGACGAAACGGUCGGUUUUAGUACAGAGAGCCGCAGCCCGCGGAAUAGAUGUCUAAAAAUUACGAGAUCGGAUCCGGGGCAUCGUGGAGUCGAGGAAUAAACUCCAGAAUUUUCGGAUCGCGAUUUGGUGGCCGUUCGGGUGUUCGCGCGAGAGUUCGGGCCGAAUCUGGUCACGUGUGUCGCGGGAGGCCGAUUGCAAGUGACUACAAGCAAUCGAAAAGUAAUUUGAGGUGGGUUGUG